AGUGAACGCUGGCGGUAGGCCUAACACAUGCCAGUCGAACGGCAGCACAGUAAGAGCUUGCUCUUACGGGUGGCGAGUGGCGGACGGGUGAGGAAUACAUCGGAAUCUACUUUUUCGUGGGGGAUAACGUAGGGAAACUUACGCUAAUACCGCAUACGACCUACGGGUGAAAGCAGGGGAUCUUCGGACCUUGCGCGAUUGAAUGAGCCGAUGUCGGAUUAGCUAGUUGGCGGGGUAAAGGCCCACCAAGGCGACGAUCCGUAGCUGGUCUGAGAGGAUGAUCAGCCACACUGGAACUGAGACACGGUCCAGACUCCUACGGGAGGCAGCAGUGGGGAAUAUUGGACAAUGGGCGCAAGCCUGAUCCAGCCAUACCGCGUGGGUGAAGAAGGCCUUCGGGUUGUAGAGCCCUUUUGUUGGGAAAGAAAAGCAGCAGGUUAAUACCCCGCUGUUCUGACGGUACCCAAAGAAUAAGCACCGGCUAACUUCGUG
rnacentral:rRNA from 1 species